rnacentral:rRNA from 1 species
AUUGGACGCUGGCGGCAGGCUUAACACAUGCAAGUCGAGCGGGGAAGGAUAGCUUGCUACCUGACCUAGCGGCGGACGGGUGAGUAAUGCUUAGGAAUCUGCCUAUUAGUGGGGGACAACAUUCCGAAAGGAAUGCUAAUACCGCGUACGCCCUACGGGGGAAAGCAGGGGAUCUUCGGACCUUGCGCUAAUAGAUGAGCCUAAGUCAGAUUAGCUAGUUGGUGGGGUAAAGGCCUACCAAGGCGACGAUCUGUAGCGGGUCUGAGAGGAUGAUCCGCCACACUGGGACUGAGACACGGCCCAGACUCCUACGGGAGGCAGCAGUGGGGAAUAUUGGACAAUGGGCGCAAGCCUGAUCCAGCCAUGCCGCGUGUGUGAAGAAGGCCUUUUGGUUGCAAAGCACUUUAAGCGAGGAGGAGGCUACUUGGAUUAAUACUCUAGGAUAGUGGACGUUACUCGCAGAAUAAGCACCGGCUAACUCUGUGCCAGCAGCCGCGGUAAUACAGAGGGUGCGAGCGUUAAUCGGAUUUACUGGGCGUAAAGCGUGCGUAGGCGGCUUUUUAAGUCGGAUGUGAAAUCCCUGAGCUUAACUUAGGAAUUGCAUUCGAUACUGGGAAGCUAGAGUAUGGGAGAGGAUGGUAGAAUUCCUGGUGUAGCGGUGAAAUGCGUAGAGAUCUGGAGGAAUACCGAUGGCGAAGGCAGCCAUCUGGCCUAAUACUGACGCUGAGGUACGAAAGCAUGGGGAGCAAACAGG